rnacentral:rRNA from 1 species
UACAGAGGUCCCAAGCGUUGUUCGGAUUCACUGGGCGUAAAGGGCGCGUAGGCGGACAGUUAAGUCAGAGGUGAAAGCCCAGGGCUCAACCCUGGAAUUGCCUUUGAUACUGGCUGUCUUGAGUAUGGGAGAGGUGAGUGGAACUCCGAGUGUAGAGGUGAAAUUCGUAGAUAUUCGGAAGAACACCAGUGGCGAAGGCGACUCACUGGCCCAUUACUGACGCUGAGGCGCGAAAGCGUGGGGAGCAAACAGG